rnacentral:lncRNA from 1 species
ACUGAGGGAUAUAUGCCACAGGAUUAAUUUGAAUUGGGGAAAUAAGGCAGUGAUUUUUGCCUGAAUAUUAAUAUCACUGAAAUAUCUAGAUAAUUAAGUUGAUGUAUUAAUAGGACUUAGAUUUUCUGCCACAUGUAGCCAAAAUCUACAGAACUGCCUGAUUUUCUUCUAAUUCUAUUUACUGUGUGUCAUAGGGACAUAAUUUAUUUUUUAAAAUAUUUUUUACCAUAUUCCUCUCCCUAUCCCUUCCUCCCACUGAAGGAGAAUCUUUUCUAGCCUGGCUCCUGGAUAUUGUCCGAUGAUGAAUUAGAAGAAAGAUAAGGCCCUAGAAGCCCAGAGAGUGGAGGGAGGACAAAGCCAGAGAAGAUAAGCUGAUCUACUUAUAAAGAUUUCGGGAUAUGAGAAACCGGGAAAAUCAUUAUACCUGGGACUGUGGAGUCAGUUUGGGGUUUUAAGCUGGGAGAAGCUACGCAGAAGAGAAGUAGGGGAAGGAGGAAGGGAAUUUGAGGAGUGUUGUUGUGUAUUAUUAAAUAGCUCUUUUUUGAUGUUCUUCUAGAAACAUAAGUGAAGAUUAGCGCUCCCUGUGAAAGUUUACUUUUUGGUGGCCGGGCUGUGGGUCUGUGUUACGAUUCCAUACAGAUGCCAGGCCACUUGAAGCUGCAGG